UGAUAAAACAUUUUUGACUUCACUUUCCUGUUUCAGUACUUCACUUCACCUUCAACUUUCUAUUUCACGUUUCAAUACGCAUGUUUCUGAAGAACUGAAGAACUGAGGUGAAGAGAGGUGAAGAUAGCUGAAGAAAUGGUUUUUUUUUUAAUAGAUACAAGUUGAAGAGUCGAAGAACUGAGCUGAAGAGUUGAAGUCUUCGAAGAAUUGGUAUCUCAACUUGUCUUCUCCAAAUAACGAUUCCUUGAAGAAAGAAAUGAGUACUGUUGGGUUGUCGACAUGAUGAUGAAUUGAAGCUAUUAGUCUCUCCGUCACACUUUUCUCUCAACUGUCUCAUUGAAGAACACGAUUUCAAAGAGAUUUUUCUUGGAUUUUGGGUUUAUCAGAUCAGUUUUCCCAAUUUUUUUUCAAGUACGAGAUUCUGCCCGGAAUUCUCGUCCGUCGUUAGUGUUCAAGUUUCUUGGUGAAGAUCGUUUCCCUGCACUUCCUGUUCCAGUUCAUUGCCUGAAGAAAGAAACUCCAAGAGCAAGCAACUGUCUCUGACUAUCAGCAAACUCUCUGCUCAAUGUCUGUGUCAUUACCGAUGCUGAAUUGAUGGCAUCUCUCAGAGCACUUGCUAAUGGUGAAUGCACAGACUCAAAUUGUUGUUGUGCAGCAACUGUGUGAUUUCUGAUGAACCAUAGAGAUGAUGAACCAAGGUGAAGAGAGGUAAAGACAGCUGAAGAAUCGAUUCCCUUUUGCGAUACAUGCUAAAAGAGUUGAAGUCGUCGAAGAAUGAGAUGAAGAGUUGAAUUCAUCAAAAAAAUGUUGUUUAAGUCGUCUUCUCCAAUAAAGACUUCUUGAAGAAUUCUCACUGUAGAGCACGAUUUCAGACAAAUUUUGUUGGGAUAGGGUUUAUCAGGUACAGGUUGUGUACAGAGCAUGAUCAAGAGGUUAAUAAUCAACCAGGAAGAUAUAAAUGGAGCAAAGCCAAUAAUCAUUGUCAAAACAUCUCUCAAUGGUUUGAAACUCGUGCUUUGCAAGAGGAUGUGCCUGAUUUGAUAAACAAUUGUCUAAAGGACCAAAUUCUGUUGCAAAAAAAUAUUCUGGGUAUCUCAUAAGUGGAUAUAGAUUCCAUGUUAGGCAGCAUGAUGAGGUUUAAAACACAAAAUAGUGGUGUUACACUAAUUGACUCAACUACAAGCUUUGCAAGCUCAAAGGAUAAAAAUCCAAUUGCUGCAGAUUUGACUUAUUAUGGCAGAAUAAUUGAUAUUGUUGAAUUAGACUAUUACGGUCAUUUUAAGGUUUUUCUUUUUAAUUGUGAUUGGUAUGAGGUUGAAAUGGUCUUACUUAUGUUCUCAGGAAGAGCCUUUUGUGCUUGCAUCUCAAGUACACCAAUGCUUCUAUGUGCAAGAUCCAUAUGAUCAAGAAAACAUUAUGUUAUGAAGACUGUUCCGAGAGACUUGUUUAACAUGGGUGAUGAGGUUGAAUCUAAUCUCCCAGAUAGUUUUGCAAGUGAUCCAUCUGAACAUUUGAUGGGACCAUCUAUACCAAAAUAUAAUGGUGAAGUACUCUUAACAAGGACUGAUGUACCAGAAACAAUUAUUGAUGUGCCUUAAGAGGAACUUGUCACUCAACAACUUGAUGUCGAGUAUGAAGAGAAUUUUGAUGAUGAGUCUACCGAUGAGUUUGAGGACGAGUCUUAAAAUGAGUAUGAAGAUGAGUUUGCAGAUGAGUUUGAAGACGAGUCUGAAAAUGAGUAUGCAGAUGAGUCUAAAGAUGAGUAGAAGAGUUUGAAGAUGACGCACCAUGAGUUUUAUUAUUGUUGUGAUGAUCAUAUAGUGCUCACUUAUUGUUUUUGUAAUUUAAUUGUUGUUUUGGUACAAACACAUUAAGAUAUCUAAUAUGUGGAAUUGAAGAUUAGAUCGCUACAAUGUUUAAGUAUUCUGUUGGCUUUUUUCAUGUGCCCAAUUGUUAUUUUGUUAAGUAAUUUAUGUUGGCUUAUUA